AACCUUUAGCCCAAACCAGUAUUAAAGGCAAUGCCUGCCCAGUGAGAAUAUCUUUAACGGCCGCGGUACCCUAACCGUGCAAAGGUAGCGUAAUCAUUUGUCUAUUAAUUGUAGACCAGUAUGAAAGGCCACAUGAGAGCCAAACUGUCUCUUGUAAUAAAUCAAUUAAACUGAUCUUCUAGUACAAAAGCUAGAAUAAACAUAUAAGACCAGAAGACCCUGUGAAGCUUAAACUAACCUAUUAAAUCAUAUAAUAGCUACUUUCGGUUGGGGCGACCUUGGAACAAAACAAAACUUCCAAAAGAAUGAGACUCCCUCAUAAACCGCAGGCCAACAAGCCAUAAUACGACCCAGUACAACUGAUUAUCGAACCAAGUUACUCCAGGGAUAACAGCGCUAUCUUCUUCAAGAGCCCAUAUCAAAAAGAAGGUUUACGACCUCGAUGUUGGAUCAGGACACCCAAAUGGUGCAGCCGCUAUUAAAGGUUCGUUUGUUCAACGAUUAACAGUCCU
rnacentral:rRNA from 1 species